UACGGGGGGAGCAAGCGUUGUUCGGAUUCAUUGGGCGUAAAGGGCGCGUAGGCGGCUUGGCAAGUCCGACAUGAAAUGUACCGGUUCAACCGGGGCACUGUGUCGGAAACUGCCUGGCUUGAGGUCGAGGGAGGAGAGUGGAAUUCCUGGUGUAGCGGUGGAAUGCGUAGAGAUCCGGAAGAACACCGGUGGCGAAGGCGGCCUGCUGGGACAUUGCUGACGCUGAGGCGCGACAGCGUGGGGAGCAAACAGG
rnacentral:rRNA from 1 species